CCUACGGGUGGCAGCAGUGGGGAAUAUUGGGCAAUGGGCGCAAGCCUGACCCAGCAACGCCGCGUGAAGGAAGAAGGCUUUCGGGUUGUAAACUUCUUUUCUCAGGGACGAAGCAAGUGACGGUACCUGAGGAAUAAGCCACGGCUAACUACGUGCCAGCAGCCGCGGUAAUACGUAGGUGGCAAGCGUUAUCCGGAUUUACUGGGUGUAAAGGGCGUGUAGGCGGGGACGCAAGUCAGAUGUGAAAACCACGGGCUCAACCUGUGGCCUGCAUUUGAAACUGUGUUUCUGGAGUACUGGAGAGGCAGACGGAAGUCCGGGUGUAGCGGUGAAAUGCAGAGAUAUUAGGAGGAACA
rnacentral:rRNA from 1 species